GAUGAACGCUAGCGGCAGGCCUAACACAUGCAAGUCGAGGGGUAGCAGGAUUAAGCUUGCUUAAUUGCUGACGACCGGCGCACGGGUGCGUAACGCGUAUGCAACCUACCUUAUACUGGGGUAUAGCCCGGAGAAAUUCGGAUUAAUCCCCCAUAGUACUAAUGAAUCGCAUGGUUUAUUAGUUAAAGCAUUGCGGUAUAAGAUGGGCAUGCGUCCUAUUAGCUAGAUGGUGAGGUAACGGCUCACCAUGGCUACGAUAGGUAGGGGGCCUGGGAGGGUGGUCCCCCACACUGGUACUGAGACACGGACAAGACUCCUACGGGAGGCAGCAGUGAGGAAUAUUGGUCAAUGGGCGCAAGCCUGAACCAGCCAUGCCGCGUGCAGGAAGAAUGCCCUAUGGGUUGUAAACUGCUUUUAUUUGGGAAUAAACCUCUUUACGUGUAGAGAGCUGAAGGUACCAAAUGAAUAAGCACCGGCUAACUCCGUGCCAGCCGCCGCUGUAA
rnacentral:rRNA from 1 species